AACGAACGCUGGCGGCAGGCCUAACACAUGCAAGUCGAGCGGACCCUUCGGGUUUAGCGGCGGACGGGUGAGUAACGCGUGGGAAUAUGCCCUUCUCUACGGAAUAGUCCUGGGAAACUGGGGGUAAUACCGUAUACGCCCUUUGGGGGAAAGAUUUAUCGGGGAAGGAUUAGCCCGCGUUGGCUUAGGUAGUUGGUGGGGUAAUGGCCUACCAAGCCGACGAUCCAUAGAUGGUUUGAGAGGAUGAUCAGCCACACUGGGACUGAGACACGGCCCAGACUCCUACGGGAGGCAGCAGUGGGGAAUCUUAGAAAAUGGGGGCAACCCUGAUCUAGCCAUGCCGCGUGAGUGAUGAAGGCCUUAGGGUUGUAAAGCGCGUUCAGCUGGGAAGAUAAUGACGGUACCAGCAGAAGAAGCCCCGGCUAACUCCGUG
rnacentral:rRNA from 1 species